AGUUUGACCGCACGCACAGAAGCUCUUAAAAACGGCAAUAUCCCAAAUCAGCACAAAACGAGCGCUCUGAAGUU